UGAAUUGCAGUGCUGGUUGGUUUUCCAUGUUAUUGACCCAGACUGGGAUUGUGUUGUGGAUCUGCCAGGUUUUGUAGGAGCCCAGGAGGGCUGGUUUGUCACUUCCAAGGCAGCUCCUGCUUCAGCCUGGGAUGCCACCCCUUUACAGCUGGCUGGGAAGCAUGAACAGUGUCAGUGGUGACAAUGAAACCACUGGAUUAUAAAAUGAACAUGUUAAAAACAUUCAAACUCUGUAAACUCUUUUUGCAUCUGGGAGAAAACCACCCACAAGAAAUUUUGAGCUUCGGGUGCAAACUCUGUGUUUGCCCUGAAGCUUUUACAUAUGGAACAGAGGGUUUGGAUUCCAACCUAAAAAAGUUGGAUGCUUCCAGGCUAUAGCUGACAAACUUUGGCAGCAGGCUGACACUGCUAAGCAUGAUGGAUAGGUUUUUUUUAAACCCUGCCAUGGAAAAUAUCUGGUUGUGGGCUCCUUGGGGAGGAGCUGGUGUGUGGAUGAGCCCUUCCAGUGGUCCUGUGACACAAGGAGACAGCUCUGCAGCCCUUUGGAAAAGACCACCCACCCUGUCCUCCUGGGAACAGGGAAGAGGUGCAAGUGUCUGCUUGUCCUAAAAUGUGUUUCUGGGAUUUGAGGCUCCACAUGUAGGAAACUGCUGAGCACAAGUGUCCUGCCUCUUGCUUGCAUGAUGUCAGCUGUGAUUUUUCAUGUCCUUGGAGCCAUAAGGAUUCUAUAAAUGUGUAAGUUUAAUUAGUAACUAUUCCAUGUUUCAAUUGCAUGGAGGUGGUACAGUUACCUGGGACAGUUGCUUGUGUCUAAUCCACUUGGAGUGCCCUAAAUCUGGACUUCUCAUCAGAUGGUAUGUGUUCUACCUCCCUGUGUGCUUCCCCUGGCCUCCUGCAUGCUGGGCAGGGCUGGACAGAAUCAGAGGCUUUGUAUUUCCAUAUCUGCUCACAGUAACUGGAGCAUUGCAAAUUAGGGAAUGGGCUUAAAAUUAGCUUUACUUCUUUUAUCUUUUCAUUUUGACCCUUUUCACUUUGAAAUUCUGAGCUCCUCGCUUCACUUCCAGAUUUCUUUUGCUCUCAGUGUCCCCAUGAGGUAGUAACACAUGUUGGAAAAUCCCUGACAUUUUCAGUGUGCAAAAGGAAAAUGGUGCUGAUGGAAGGUUGUUCCCCUUUUCCCAGUCACAGUGGCUGUUUAAACAAAAGUUGAAACAAAAUUUUAAUCAAAACACCUUCCAUCUCUAUUUUUAACAGGGAAAUCCUGUCUGUAGAUAGGCUUUUUGUAGUAUUCCAGUUUUGAAACAGAAGUGAAAUUGAGCCAGAAAAGUAUGGCUACAGAUCCCAGGUCAAAAGUGAAGGGCUGCUGGACUGGAUUUCUAUUUGUAACUACGUUUUUUUUGUGAUGUAGUUUGAUCUCUGCAGGUAAAAGUUGUCUGAUGAAUUGUGUGCUCCUGAAUGGUAUUUAGGAUGUUUUAAUUUCAAAUCAUGCAUUCUUUGAAUGUGUAUGUGGCCUGCAUGCUUUUCUAUGUCUUUUCUGUCUUCUUGUCUCUCCCUCUUAUAAUUCCCCCUUCUUGGAGCAUUUUGAGUAACUUAACAUCAAAUGGGCUUAAAGUUUGCUAAAUUGAAUGGGCCAAGUUAAUGCUCUUAGAAGUGUUUUAUGUAGACUGGAUGUUGUGGUAAACCCUUUGUCAAACUCCCUUAGUUUUUCUGAAGUGCCAGUAAAGCUGUUUUGACUUCUUGAGAGAAUAUCUUGUCAGUAUUUUCUCAACUGCUGAGUGCACACUAGGAAAUAUCCUCAAGGAGCAAUGCCAGGUUGAAUAUUGCAAGCUCAUUAGGAUCCUUUUUGUUUCUUUUUUUUUUAUUCUAUUUUUCCCAUUUUAAAUCCUGUUGUGUAUGCCAAAACCUGAGGUGAGUAGAAGGGAAGUUGUCUCUUGGAGCAGUGCUGGGGAUUGCUGCCUUGCUUGUGGCAAAUGUUGCACCUGUAUGCAUUUGUUCUCCUAUUUAAUGUACAGAGAGAAGUGUCCCUUUUCCUUCUCAGCUGAAAUAACAUUUCACAUUGAUCAAAUCACUUUCUUUUUCUAAUUUUGUGCUGUCCCCAAAAAGCUAUUCACAACACUUUGUCUGGGGGCUCUGACAGCAACAUUAGCUCUGUAUUUCCUUGAAGGAAGGAUUUGGGAUGGAACCAGAAGCUCUGUUCCUGAGCAGAAAAGGGGAUGUUUUCUGUUUGCACCCAGGGCAGGCUGCUCCUUCAGUGUGUUGGUCACUCUGAAUGUCCCAAAGGAAAAAAAAGUGGCAGAAUAAUUGUGAGGGGACAGUGACCCACCUGAGGGUGAGGGGAUCUCCCCUCUGCUCUGAGCAGAGGAAAUGCAGGGGCCAGGGAGUUUGGUCUGCUGGUGACAGGCACAUGAGGAGAACAUGCAAUCAUACAAAGAACUUGGGACCUUGGUUCUGAGAAAUUAGGGAAAAGAAUAUUUUACAGCUCUUCCCUUCCUGUGGCUUUUUUUCAUCCUUCUGAAUUUUCAUACUUUUGAAUUGACAUGUGAGCCAUGGUUUGAAAUCCAUAACGUGUGGGGGGAGUGUGGUAGUGAAAAAAGUUUUCUUCUUCUUUUUUUCUUCUUUUUUCACUUUUUUUUGUGUCAGGUCAUUGUAAAGUCUGCAGAGACACAACUCAGACCUGGCAAAGUCAUGCUGAUGCAUUUGGCUGGUGUUAGCUCCAGCUAACAUGGGAAGGGGAUGAACUGUUUGCUGAGGAAACAGAUUUUUCAGGCAAAGUUCUGUAGGAAGAACUGUGAGUUAGGAAUGCUGAGCUAAAAUGUUUUAUUCUAUUUUUAUUGGCAAAGUCCAGCCAGGGAGAGGUGAUAGCUUCCAGCAGUGUUGAUGUGUAGGAGCAGAGGAGAAAUAGUAUUCUUCUCCUCCACCUCCAAGGAAAAAGGGGAUCGGAGGGAGCACACUGGCCUGUUUUGCUGUGCUCCAACCUCUGUUCACGGGUGUGAAGAUGAAAAUAAAAAGGUUUUAAUUUGUUGUUGACCUGUAGGUACAAACUUGCAACACCGUUCUGUUAAGAUGAAAGUGGCUUUUGUUGUGAGGAAAGCUUUUAUAAAAACCUCGCAUCUGAGAAAUGGCACUUGGAAAAUCAAACUGAAAUCUAAUGCUGGCAACUCUAUAUUGUAGCUAUAACUCAUUAUGAAAAAUACAAAAUUAAUCAAUAGGGUCAUCAGCUGAUACUAAACCAUGUCUCAGAACUGGGCAGGUUUCUGUGUUGUAUUUGCCUGGUAAUACAGAUGACUGAAUUCUGGUGUGCUCAAAGGCCUUGCUCAAAUUUACACUGCAAAUUGCUGUACAGCACAGACCCUCCUCAAGUCUGCUUCCUUUGAGAGGAGGUGGUGAUGGUGACAAAGGAUUGAAAAAAUAGAAAUAAAUUAGUCAUUUACAAGGCUUCUUUCUGCUCCUUGACAUUAUUUUCAAUGACAUCAGUGGCACUGAAUGUGGCUCUUGGGGACACAGUAAUGGCAAUAUAGAAGCAAAAGCAGCUGCACAGGGAUUUGGUGCUGAGGAAUCGAGGCAAUUAGGAAAAGGUGCUAGAGCUGGGUUGAGUCAGAUGUGAAAAAAUUGCACCCUGAAAUGUGCUGGUAUCGGUGAUCAUAGGCAGAAGAGGUGGUUUUCUCAAACUGCGCAGCUUCCAAAAGAUGGGAAAAUAUUCAGAGGUAAAAAUCAGAAUUCCAGCCAGCAUUCAGCUACAUAUCUAUUCAGAGCUGAACUUCACAACAGCUGCACUUAUAAUGCUGUUUUGCAGAUCUAACACUUGAAAGAUGUGGAAAAUAAAAUUCAGGAUGAAUUUUAAGAACGCAACAGGAAUAACCAGCGUGGCAGAUGUAGAUUUAGGAUAUUCUGCACUUUCUGAAGGAUUUGUUUUUAAUGUGAAGCAUGUACCUUCACACUCUGUAACAUGUGCUCUGAUUCCCUGACAGAUUCGUUCUGCACAGUCCCUCUGGAAUAUUGGCACUCACACCAUCUAUAAACAGACAGUCAAGGAAAGCAGCUGAUCUCAGCAGGUGAGGAGCAGGGCAGAUGAGCUGUUGGAGACAAAAGGCAUUUCCAGAGAUGAUCACAGAGAUAAGGGGUCCUCUGACUGGGAGCAGCACAGAAGGUACACAAAGUAUAGCAACCAUCAACGACCAAACAACAUCCCUGGCAUGGUCAGAGAAACCUGGUCCGAAAAAACUUGAUGAGAGAAUCAGGGAAUGAGAACCUAAUUAACAUCAAAGGCAAAGAGAUUGAUAACCAAUAGGAAACCAAAUACUGAGAACUGUGUAACUUGGGGCCAGUGAACACUGAACCAAUGAAUUUCUAGGGGUUUUGACUCUAUAAGUGUGUGAAAAAUCUAGUAAAAUUGAUGUGUGGUGGAGUGAUUUCCUCUGCAAGGCUCGGGCCCUGUGUGGAUGAAAUGAUUUCUGUUGCACAUCCUGGCCAGAA